rnacentral:rRNA from 1 species
AUUGAACGCUGGCGGCAGGCCUAACACAUGCAGGUCGAGCGGAUGAAGGGAGCUUGCUCCUGGAUUCAGCGGCGGACGGGUGAGUAAUGCCUAGGAUUCUGCCUGGUAGUGGGGGAUAACGUCCGGAAACGGGCGCUAAUACCGCAUACGUCCUGAGGGAGAAAGUGGGGGAUCUUCGGACCUCACGCUAUCAGAUGAGCCUAGGUCGGAUUAGCUAGUUGGUGGGGUAAAGGCCUACCAAGGCGACGAUCCGUAACUGGUCUGAGAGGAUGAUCAGUCACACUGGAACUGAGACACGGUCCAGACUCCUACGGGAGGCAGCAGUGGGGAAUAUUGGACAAUGGGCGAAAGCCUGAUCCAGCCAUGCCGCGUGUGUGAAGAAGGUCUUCGGAUUGUAAAGCACUUUAAGUUGGGAGGAAGGGCAGUAAGUUAAUACCUUGCUGUUUUGACGUUACCAACAGAAUAAGCACCGGCUAACUUCGUG